CUGGGUAGUAGGGUCUCUGCACAUUCAUUUCAGUACUUUGAUUCAGCUAGAAGAACAAGAUGUGAUGAAGAAAAUGAUACUAGACCUACUUUUCUUUUGACACUGGUACUAGAUAUUGGGAACAAUCUUUUACUUUUAACAAUGUACUAUCAACAAAUCGAAAAUCAAUUCCUAUGAAUGACAAAAUCUCACAACCAAGAGUUAAGGAAUGUGGUGAGGGGAAGAUCGUUUGAAAAUGUGCUUGAUGGGAAAAAGUUGUCAUCGGAUAAAUCUUUGGACGUGUAACUUGUAAACGCAGGUGGGGCAAAGGUCUAACUAAAUGGAAUCUCCAAAACCAGCAGAAUUCUCACAAGCUAUGGCCUUGGACUUUGUCGAUAACUCUGUCAGUCGGUGAUUUGAACUUGUGUGAAAAUGUCAAAACUAGAAAGACUAACGGGAUAAAGUCACCUGGUGAACACUGCGACUUUUGACUGGGAUGGAAAGCAAAAGGAGAAUAGUGGGUACAUUUUCUGAGAAAGACGGAUGACUUGAUAUUUGGAUGGGAAUGAGACAAAUCAGGAGCCUCGUCUGUCCAUCAGGAAUCUCCAUCUUCAGUCAAGAGAAGCUGAUGAUGAAGUGUUGGGGAUCCUAGGAGUUCAAACAAACCAAAACAACAAUCAACAAACAAGAUUCAAGGCAAAAACAAGAAAAAUAAACCGGAAGAAUACUCCCCUUCUUUGGCCGAAAAUCUGUCCAGCUUUUCUGCUUCGUUUCAGCAGCUCCUUCUUCGAUUUAUGGGUGUUUUUCCAGGCUCAGGAACAGCCCCAUGUUAUGCCAAUUGCCUUCCAAAGAGAGAGGGGAAAAAACCAAUGAAGAACCACCACCCUUCUAUGAAAAACGAGAGCUCCUACUGCUGGGAAUUCUAGUGACUGAGAGCUGCCCCCUUUUUCUUAUAUAAAAUGGUAGAGUGUACAUAAUGAAGGGGUAGGAAGAAAGACCAUGCCUCUGCCAAGGGAAGGGAAGACCUUAUUGUGUCAACCUCACUCCCAUCAACUCACAACAUUAGGUGGUGGGGUUAGGUGAACCAUAUCUUCACAUUCUUCACCUUGGUUCUCCUAACACUCUCUCUUGGUUGCGAAUUUGCACAUGGAAGAACUGUUCAUCAUCAUCGCCCACCACCUGCAAGAAAAAUUAACCAGUGUCAAUGUGUAAUAAAGAUAAGCACAAUCUAAAUUUACUUGCAGGUAGAAUUUUUGUUCCCAUGUCAGAGGGAUUCCUAUCAGUGUGAAUUUUAACAAGAUUAACUUCACCUUGAGACAGUUUCUCACGUAUAAAAUGAUACUUUACCUCAAUAUGUUUAGUUCUUUCAUGGUAAACAGGAUUUUUACAAAGC
rnacentral:lncRNA from 1 species